AACGGCCGUACCAUGCUGAAUAUACCGGUUCUCGUUAGAUCACCGAAGUUAAGCAUCGUUGGGCGCGGUCAGUACUUGGGUGGGUGACCACCUGGGAACCCUGCGUGCCGUU
rnacentral:rRNA from 1 species